UACAGAGACUGCAAGCGUUAUUCGGAUUCACUGGGCGUAAAGGGUGCGCAGGCGGCCGUGUGUGUGAGGCGUGAAAGCCUGGGGCUUAACCCCAGAAUUGCACCUCAAACUACAUGGCUAGAGCAUUGGAGAGGGUAGCAGAAUUCAUGGUGUAGCAGUGAAAUGCGUAGAUAUCAUGAGGAAUACCAGAGGCGAAGGCGGCUACCUGGACAAUUGCUGACGCUCAGGCACGAAAGCAUGGGGAGCAAAAGGG
rnacentral:rRNA from 1 species